CUAGCGAGGGGGAUCCCCCCACGUCGCCAUUUUCCCUAGGGAACCCCAACAUGCUUACCAUUGUACAAACAACAAAGUACACCGACAUGAACUACUUAUUGCUAAACGGUACAUGAAAACACGCGGUAAUUAUUACAUCGAUUGUAAUAAGAUAGCCUGAAGCAAUCAAUGAAGGCUGUUUAACGAUGACACAAUUCUGUACUCGUGUUCGCGAGGACUACUACGUGUACAUGAUCGGCUUGCGAAAUAAGGAAUCUUGGCUGUUACUGUUUGGUGACCGAGAAAAAUCAAUGAUAAAUCGAACGCUUAUUCGUGACAAUUAAAACUCGUACCGCAUAGUCCCACGUUUGUGCCGACGGUAUUUUUUUCUCUAGCGAAAUCGUGACGUACCGUUUAGCGAUCCCGAUAGAGGAGCACACGAGGUCAAGAGAAAUGCGCUUACGUACUGUUAUUUCAUAUUUCGUGCAAUAAUUAUGGAUCCCUAUUUACCGGUUACGCCGUAACAUCGGGGAAAGUGUGUUUCUGAGUUAUUGGAGAUGAGAACGCAGCAUUGACGUCAGCUGGGAACGAACGUGAUCCUUUUAGCACGCUUUUGAGCUACGAUCAGUGGCUAGGGCGAAAAAGUAAAAAGAAGAUGGCGUUGAAAUCGGUUGCCCUGAUUUUUGCAGUUGAGGGCGUUCCAACGAAUCUGUCUACAGAAGAUAUGUAUACUUCAUAAAUUUUAAUGACUUUCAAGGACAUUUCAAAGUUAUUAAAUUUCCCAAGAGGUUGAUAAGCGCAUCGGUGUACAUGAAAUUACUCAGAACCAACGUCCUGACCAAUACCUUAUAAUCUAUCGAGAUCAUUAUUAAUAUUAAUGAAAGUAACUCAUUAAUAUUGAGUUACACUGUAUAAUUACUCAAAACUGUGGUAUAAUGAUUUCUGAUUACGGAGUUCAGCACUAAUAGGGUUUGGCGUCCAAAAAGUAGGGUGCUGAAUAAUUCCUCCAUUUCUUGGAAUCGUACCCCACUGUAGAAGUAUAAGCACGAAGUAGGUAUCUGGUUGUGUAGCGACCACUCGAAUCGUUUGACCUCCUAUCGUGCACCUCGAUGGACCGAAAAACCGUUGGUCAAGAACGGAGAAAGUCGCCAGCACACUUUUUCAUUACCUCUAUGUGCCUCUUUAUAACCUGAACUGAAUGGAUACGGUAGUGGGUGUCGGAUUUUCAAACACGUUUGCACGCGUGUCAAAUUUUUGAUGUACGAGACCACUUGGCACGUGUUGUUAUGGAAAAACUGUUUACUCUUGAAUUUUUUAAGAAUAAAGGAGUAAGAGUCUAAAAAUAGAAGGAUAUAAGGAUUUAGAAAUGCAAGGAUAUAAUGGUCUAAAAAUACAGGAAUUUAAGGAUCAAGAUAUUUGAGAACAUAACACAUGCUUCACCUUUGUAAUUUUUAAAGAAGUCAUAGUGACGCAUUAUGAUUAAUUACAUGGCACGAUGAUCGGCCAUUUGUAAUUGUUGGCAUUCGAGGCACGAGCAAGUCAUCGGCCUACGCUUUCUAACUAUUGCUGGACGCAUUCUCUCAGUCAUCGGGGAUUCCUGUGACGUCAUGGAAUACAAAUUUGUCGACUUGAGAAAAAGUUCGAAGUGGUCGAGGUCACGUUCAUAUAUCGGAACCGGAACUCGUCUGCUCACUUAAAUUGCUAAGUCGUAAUUUUGAACAUUCCGAGAACUGAUACUGUGCCAAGGCAAUGAAUUAUGCGACUGCACGAACAAGGAAUAGCAAUAUCCAGUUUUUUCUCCAUUUUCGAGAAACAUAGUCGGUGCUAAAAUAUGAAGAUUCUUUUUAAGCUCAAACCUUUUUCA